GUGCAGCAGUCGCGAAAACUCCGCAAUGCGCGAAAGCGUGACGGGGUCACCCCGAGUGCCGUCCGCUGAGGAUGGCUUUUGCCUGGUCUAACCAGCCGGAUGAAUAAGGGGAGGGCAAGUCUGGUGUCAGCCGCCGCGGUAAUACCAGCUCCCCGAGUGGUUGGGACGAUUAUUGGGUCUGAAGCGUCCGUAGCCGGCCGGAAAAGUUCCCCGUUAAAUCUGGCGAUCCAAUCGUUGGGCUGCGGGGAAUACUCUGCGGCUUGGGGGCGAGGGAGGUCGGCGGUAGUCCCGGGGUAGGGGCGAAAUCUUAUAAUUCCGGGAGGACCACCAGUGGCGAAGGCUGUCGGCUAGAACGCGCUCGACGGUGAGGGACGAAAGCUGGGGGAGCGAACCGGAUUAGAUACCCGGGAGUCC
rnacentral:rRNA from 1 species